rnacentral:rRNA from 1 species
ACGGGUGAGUAACACGUAAGUAAUCUACCCUCGGGUGGGGAAUAACAACCGGAAACGGUUGCUAAUACCGCAUAAUGCAGCGGCUCCUUAUGGAGACAGUUGUUAAAGGAUUUAUUCGCCUGAGGAGGAGCUUGCGGCAAAUUAGCUAGUUGGUAAGGUAAUGGCUUACCAAGGCUACGAUCUGUAGCCGGUCUAAGAGGACGGUCGGUCACACUGACACUGAAUAACGGGUCAGACUCCUACGGGAGGCAGCAGUCGGGAAUUUUGGGCAAUGGGCGAAAGCCUGACCCAGCAACGCCGCGUGAAGGAUGAAGUAUUUCGGUAUGUAAACUUCGAAAGAAUAGGAAGAAUUAAUGACGGUACUAUUUAUAAGGUCCGGCUAACUACGUGCCAGCAGCCGCGGUAAUACGUAGGGACCAAGCGUUGUUCGGAUUUACUGGGCGUAAAGGGCGCGUAGGCGGCAUGACAAGUCACUUGUGAAAUCUCUGGGCUUAACUCAGAACGGCCAAGUGAUACUGUCGCGCUAGAGUGCAGAAAGGGCAAUCGGAAUUCUUGGUGUAGCGGUGGAAUGCGUAGAUAUCAAGAGGAACACCUGAGGCGAAGGCGGGUUGCUAGGCUGACACUGACGCUGAGGCGCGAAAGCCAGGGGAGCA